rnacentral:lncRNA from 1 species
GAGAGCUGAGGGGACCCAAUUCAGUGGAAAAGAGGGAUCCAGAGUGCACUAGUGGGGUGCUAAGGGGUCUACGCUGUCAAAAAAUGGCUCUGAGCAAGAAGGGAGAAAUCUGGAGGGGUUGCAAGGAGACUAGAGAGUGUCUAAGGRGCCUGGGUGCCAGAAGAGAGCUGGGGGACCCAAUUCUAUGGAAAAGAGGGGUCCAGAGUGCACUAGAGGGGUGCUAAGGUGUCUACAUGAUCUAGAAAUGCCUCUGGGGAAGAAGGGAGAAAUCUGGAGAGGUUGCGAGGAGACUAGAGAGUGUCUAAGGGGUCUGGGAGCCCAGAAGAGAGCUGGGGGGACCCAUUCUGUGGAAAAGAGGGCUCCAGAACGCACUAGCGAGGUGCAAAAGGGUCUCCAUGGUCCAGAAAUGCCUCUGGGGAAGAAGGGAGAAAUCUGGAGGGGUUGCGAGGAGACUAGAGGGGGUCUAAGGGUCCUGGGGGGCCGGAAGAGAGAUGGGGGGCCCCAUUCUGUGGCAAAGAGGGGUCCAGAGUGCACUGAAGGGGUGUUAAGGCAUCUACAUGGUCCAGAAAUGGCUCUGGGGAAGAAGGGAGAAAUCUGGAGGGGUUGCGAGAAGACUAGAGGGUGUCUAAGGAGUCUCAAGGUCCCAAAGAUAUCUGGGGGGCCCUAUUCUGUGGAAAAGAGCGGUCCAGAGUGCACUAGUGGGGUGCUAAGGGGUCUACGCUGUCAAAAAAUGGCGCUGGGGAAGAAGGGAGAAAUCUGGAGGGGUUGCGAGGAGACUAGAAAGUGUCUAACGGGGCUAGAGGCCCACAAGAGAGCUGGGGGGCCCCAUUCUGUGGAAAAGAGGGAUCCAGAGUGCACUAGAGGGGUGCUAAGGUGUCUCCAUGGUCAAGAAAUGCCUCUGGGGAAGAAGGGAGAAAUCAGGAGGGGUUGCGAGGAGACUAGCGGGGCUCGAAGGAGUCUGGAGGUCCCAAAGAUAUCUGGCUGGCCCAAUUCUGUAGAAAAGAGGGGUCCAGAGC